GCUGGCGGCAUGCUUAACACAUGCAAGUCGAACGGCAGCAUGGUUUAUCUUCGGAUAAAUGAUGGCGAGUGGCGGACGGGUGAGUAACGCGUAGGAAUCUACCUUAUUGUGGGGGAUAACUCAGGGAAACUUGAGCUAAUACCGCAUAGUCUCUAAGGAGUAAAGCUGGGGAUCGUUUUUUAAGACCUGGUGCAAUAAGAUGAGCCUGCGUCAGAUUAGCUUGUUGGUGGGGUAAAGGCCUACCAAGGCGACGAUCUGUAGCUGGUUUGAGAGAACGAUUAGCCACACUGGGACUGAGACACGGCCCAGACUCCUACGGGAGGCAGCAGUGGGGAAUAUUGGACAAUGGGCGAAAGCCUGAUCCAGCAAUGCCGCGUGUGCGAUGAAGGCCUUCGGGUUGUAAAGCACUUUCAGUAGUGAGGAAGAAUACGGUAUUAAUACCACCAGUAUUUUGACGUUAGCUACAGAAGAAGCACCGGCUAACUCUGUG
rnacentral:rRNA from 1 species